rnacentral:ncRNA from 2 species
CUCUUAUCCCGAGCUGGUGGAGGGUCAGGCCCUAUGAAACCCGGCAACCUGCAUUGUGAUUUUAUGUGAUGCGCUGGUGCUCAAUCUGAUGCAAGGAUUUGAUCCUUGAACGAUAAGAG